AUUGAACGCUGGCGGCAUGCCUUACACAUGCAAGUCGAACGGCAGCGCGGGCUUCGGCCUGGCGGCGAGUGGCGAACGGGUGAGUAAUGCAUCGGAACGUGCCCAGUAGUGGGGGAUAGCCCGGCGAAAGCCGGAUUAAUACCGCAUACGACCUGAGGGUGAAAGCGGGGGACCGAAAGGCCUCGCGCUAUUGGAGCGGCCGAUGUCGGAUUAGCUAGUUGGUGGGGUAAAGGCUUACCAAGGCGACGAUCCGUAGCUGGUCUGAGAGGACGACCAGCCACACUGGAACUGAGACACGGCGCAGACUCCUACGGGAGGCAGCAGUGGGGAAUUUUGGACAAUGGGGGCAAGCCUGAUCCAGCCAUGCCGCGUGCGGGAAGAAGGCCUUCGGGUUGUAAAGCGCUUUUGUUCGGGAAGAAAUCCUGUGGGCUAAUACCCCGGGGGGAUGACGGUACCGGAAGAAUAAGCACCGGCUAACUACGUG
rnacentral:rRNA from 1 species